rfam:Dipodomys ordii contig_54637, whole genome shotgun sequence.
GGGAAGGUAGCUCAGUGGUAGAGCGCUUGCCUUGCAAGCAUGAGGCCCUGGGUUCAAUUCCUCAGCACCA